UACAGAGGUCUCAAGCGUUGUUCGGAUUCAUUGGGCGUAAAGGGUGUGUAGGUGGCGCCGUAAGUCGGGUGUGAAAUUUCGGAGCUUAACUCCGAAACUGCAUUCGAUACUGCGGUGCUUGAGGACUGGAGAGGAGACUGGAAUUCAUGGUGUAGCAGUGAAAUACGUAGAGAUCAUGAGGAACACCAGUGGCGAAGGCGGCUCACUGGCCCGGUACUGACGCUGAGGCGCGAAAGCGUGGGGAGCAAACAGG
rnacentral:rRNA from 1 species